rnacentral:rRNA from 1 species
GCCUUAGAGUUUGAUCCUGGCUCAGGAUGAACGCUAGCUACAGGCUUAACACAUGCAAGUCGAGGGGCAGCAUGGUCUUAGCUUGCUAAGGCUGAUGGCGACCGGCGCACGGGUGAGUAACACGUAUCCAACCUGCCGUCUACUCUUGGCCAGCCUUCUGAAAGGAAGAUUAAUCCAGGAUGGGAUCAUGAGUUCACAUGUCCGCAUGAUUAAAGGUAUUUUCCGGUAGACGAUGGGGAUGCGUUCCAUUAGAUAGUAGGCGGGGUAACGGCCCACCUAGUCAACGAUGGAUAGGGGUUCUGAGAGGAAGGUCCCCCACAUUGGAACUGAGACACGGUCCAAACUCCUACGGGAGGCAGCAGUGAGGAAUAUUGGUCAAUGGGCGAUGGCCUGAACCAGCCAAGUAGCGUGAAGGAUGACUGCCCUAUGGGUUGUAAACUUCUUUUAUAAAGGAAUAAAGUCGGGUAUGCAUACCCGUUUGCAUGUACUUUAUGAAUAAGGAUCGGCUAACUCCGUGCCAGCAGCCGCGGUAAUACGGAGGAUCCGAGCGUUAUCCGGAUUUAUUGGGUUUAAAGGGAGCGUAGAUGGAUGUUUAAGUCAGUUGUGAAAGUUUGCGGCUCAACCGUAAAAUUGCAGUUGAUACUGGAUGUCUUGAGUGCAGUUGAGGCAGGCGGAAUUCGUGGUGUAGCGGUGAAAUGCUUAGAUAUCACGAAGAACUCCGAUUGCGAAGGCAGCCUGCUAAGCUGCAACUGACAUUGAGGCUCGAAAGUGUGGGUAUCAAACAGGAUUAGAUACCCUGGUAGUCCACACGGUAAACGAUGAAUACUCGCUGUUUGCGAUAUACGGCAAGCGGCCAAGCGAAAGCGUUAAGUAUCCAC